GUCCUUGUAGAUUAGUGGUUAGAUCACCACGUUGUGGCUUCUGCUUGCAAACCCGUGGUAACCCAGGCUCGAAUCCUGGCAAGGACA
rnacentral:tRNA from 1 species